GGCAGGUUGCCCGAGCGGCCAAAGGGAGCCGACUGUAAAUCAGCCGUCACAGACUUCGGGGGUUCGAAUCCCUCACCUGCCACCA
rnacentral:tRNA from 1 species